rnacentral:rRNA from 1 species
UACAGAGGGGGCAAGCGUUGCUCGGAUUUACUGGGCGUAAAGCGUACGCAGACGGCCACGCAGGUCGGGUGUGAAAGCCCCGGGCUCAACCCGGGAAUUGCAUUCGAAACCAUGUGGCUCGAGGAUGGGAGAGGAGAGCGGAAUUCUCGGUGUAGAGGUGAAAUUCGUAGAUAUCGAGAGGAACACCAGUGGCGAAAGCGGCUCUCUGGCCCAUUUCUGACGUUCAGGUACGAAAGCGUGGGGAGCAAACAGG